AGAGUUUGAUCAUGGCUCAGGACGAACGCUGGCGGCGUGCCUAAUACAUGCAAGUCGAGCGCAUCAUUUCGGUGAUGAGCGGCGAACGGGUGAGUAACGCGUGGGGAAUCUGCCUUGAAGCGGGGGACAACUAUUGGAAACGAUAGCUAAUACCGCAUAAUAGGAAGGGUGACAUCACCUUUUCUUGAAAGUAUCUAUUGGUACACUUCAAGAUGAUCCCGCGUUGGAUUAGCUAGUUGGUAAGGUAAGGGCUUACCAAGGCGAUGAUCCAUAGCCGACCUGAGAGGGUGAUCGGCCACAUUGGGACUGAGACACGGCCCAAACUCCUACGGGAGGCAGCAGUAGGGAAUCUUCGGCAAUGGGGGGAACCCUGACCGAGCAACGCCGCGUGAGUGAAGAAGGUUUUCGGAUCGUAAAGCUCUGUUGGUAGUAAAGAAUGGUGUAGAGAGGAGAAAGUUCUACACGUGACGGUAACUACCCAGAAAGGGACGGCUAACUACGUGCCAGCAGCCGCGGUAAUAC
rnacentral:rRNA from 1 species